AGUGGACGCUGGCGGUAGGCCUAACACAUGCAAGUCGAACGGCAGCACAGUAAGAGCUUGCUCUUACGGGUGGCGAGUGGCGGACGGGUGAGGAAUACAUCCGAAUCUACUUUUUCGUGGGGGAUAACGUAGGGAAACUUACGCUAAUACCGCAUACGACCUACGGGUGAAAGCAGGGGAUCUUCGGACCUUGCGCGAUUGAAUGAGCCGAUGUCGGAUUAGCUAGUUGGCGGGGUAAAGGCCCACCAAGGCGACGAUCCGUAGCUGGUCUGAGAGGAUGAUCAGCCACACUGGAACUGAGACACGGUCCAGACUCCUACGGGAGGCAGCAGUGGGGAAUAUUGGACAAUGGGCGCAAGCCUGAUCCAGCCAUACCGCGUGGGUGAAGAAGGCCUUCGGGUUGUAAAGCCCUUUUGUUGGGAAAGAAAAGCAGCAGGUUAAUACCCCGCUGUUCUGACGGUACCCAAAGAAUAAGCACCGGCUAACUUCGUG
rnacentral:rRNA from 1 species